GGAAGCAAAAAUAAAACAGUAUACUGGUUCUGUUGUCUUAUAAAUACUUGGCAUGAUAUAGACUCUGCUGUGUCAAAAAAAAAAAAAAAAGCCACUGUUUUUCCACUGAACAACAUUAGUUUAAAGUAAUACAAAGAACUGUAGAAUUUACUUUGCAUAACCUGCUUAUGCAGCACCAAAAUCAGCCUCCAGCCCAGAAAUUGCCUAUAAACUGAUGGCAAAUGCACAACUCAACACUGGAUUUCAGGGCUAGUUACAUUCACAAGGCAAAGCAUAUGCUGUCUUCAGAAGACAAGGCAGGAAGUGGAUGUUUUCUGUACAGACAUCUCCACUAGUGAGGACCAUAUUGGCUUCCAGCAGAAUAUAUCAAACCCAACAAGAACAACAACAAUCACCCUUGCCAUCUUUCUUCUGCUGUACUGACAUCAAAUCACAGAAGAGGGAAUCUCCUGGGCCCACAUCAUUCAACCUCUGCUGUUUUGGCCUCUGACCUGGUGGGACCCAGAGCCUCCUCUCAGCAAUAAUGGAACAGAAUGGGUAGGAGGAACUUGGCCUCCUCCCCUGGAUCAGGAUAUUGUAGAUACGUAUAGUAUUAACACUGCUUUGGUUACUGAUUUACCACCAGGAUGCUUAACGUGGAAUCAAACAGGUACUUCUUCAAAAAAGGAUCAAAAAAGUACUUUUACCUUAUGCUAACUUUUCUAUGCAAUUGCAUUUAAUAUAUGCACACUCAGAUAAUACAAGAGAAUUGACCAACCAUUCUGUCUACCUUCGACAAGUCUGUGGAUGCCACUCUACCUCAUUCGUGAAAUGUCAUUUUACACCCAUCUCCAAAAUAUGGCAUUUGGAAUGGACAUGAUGUAUAGGACAGUGGCCACAACAACAAUUCUUACAGUAUGGGAGGGUAAUUGAUUGGGGACCACAUGGUAUCAUUAAAGAAAGUGGGACCAAUGUAACAAUUCUCCCAUCUCAAAAGACAAAUUACAGUAUUGAUUGGCAUGAUGGUGAAAUGGCUGGAUCAUUAAUUCAAUAUUAUUUAGGUAAUAAUCAGUCCCAUGUGCACAAGCUGUUGUGGAAAAUGUUGUUACCGGCUUUUGGCAAUAGGAUAUACCAAGUAAAAUUAGAUAAGAAUGCUAAAAUUCCUACUUGA